AUGAAAGGAAAAUCAGUCCAGACUUGGGCCCAACUCUUGUCUUCACCUAAUUAUAAGGAUAGGGAUGUUUCCAUUCUGGUCUCAGGAAAGACUCACAAUGUUUCCCUUGGAAUCUCAAAUCUUAGGUCUAAAGAAACCUCUGCCAGUCUGGACUUAGAAUUUCAAUGUAUUAGAGGUAAGGAGAUACAAGAGAGUGGCCGAAGGGAAACAGGAAUAGAGAAAGAAGAAGAGAUUUUUCUUCGGAUGCUGACUGGCAGGUCCGUUGCCCUCCUCCAACUGCUCAUUCUGCGGAGAUGGUGACUGCCUCUCAGGACAUCGGACAUGGGGAAUGAGGCCCCAUGCUCCUGCUGGUAGAGAAGCAGGACUGUCAAGCUGCAGGUGCAGGCCCUCAAUUAGGAUGUGUCGUUCAUCUCUGUCAACACUAAUGAAAUUCAGAACCCUAAAGUGACAGGUACAGCAACUGGCUUGGGAAUUUUAAAGUUCAUAACUUCAUAUUUAAUUUUCUCAUUCCUCCCAGCCUCAGCAUCUUCCAUUGGGAAGGUGAGCAGAAGGAGCCCCAUCUAGCCAACAUGUCCAUGCCCCGGAGUUGGGGCCAAAAUCCAAGUGGCAUUGUGGAAUCAUUUUGAAAAGCAAGGAAGGGGAGGGGACCCGGGGAUAAAACUUGUGUGCCCUUUGGAACUCCAACAAAACAAAUGAACCCUCUGUCAUGCUGUUUCAGACCAGAACUGACAACUUCAGGAGGCACAAAUCUGAUUGCAAGUGCAGCCUGUCUAUAGGAAUCCACCAAGAAGAGUAACAAAAGAAAGCUGAGAUGUCACCACAGCCCUGUGCAGCAUGCUUCUAGACAAAGCAGAUGGAGAACUUGUUGUUGUUUAGUCACUAAGUUGUGUUCAACUCUUUUGUGACCACAUGAAGCCCACUAGGCUCCUCUGUUCAUGGGAUUUCCUGGGCAAGAAUACUGGAGUGGGUAGCCAUUUCCUUCUGUGGGGGAUAUUCCCGAGUCAGGGAUCGAACCCGUGUCUCCUGUAUUGACAGGCAGAUUCUUCACUGCUGAGUGGGGCUACAUAAUUUUUUUUUUUUACAAGUGAAACAAACCAUUACAUAUAAAUGACACUGCAAAUGAGAGGAACUGAAGACCUCUUUAGGAAUGUAAUAGUACAUGGGCUGAUUUUACAUAUAUAUACACACAUACAUAUAUAUAUGUAUAUAUAUAUGAGAAAGAGGAGAUUUUUAAAUGAUUCUUUUUCCUUUUAAGAUUUGAAAACAUGCUUUGUCAACUCCUUGUAUAUGUAUGUUCUCUGAGUUAAUCUGAAAGUUUCCUAUAAAUGAUGUGAAAAGUUGCCAUGAAUCAGAACUGAAACACUCAACAGCAAAUCCCUUGCUGAAAUCUGAGAGCCUACAUUGAGCAUAUUUCUGUAGGAUAACUGAAACAUCGCCAAAAAUUUUUUUAAGAGCUAUGAUGUCUCGGAGGAAACAUACAAACAGUUUCUUGAUUCCUUUAACCCAUAUAGCCGAACUUUGGCUGAUGAUAGGGCCAGCAUACCACUUAUGCUCCUUGCUUCUCUUCCCCUUACAGGUUCCCAGCUUCAUCCAUCUUCGAUCUCUGAUCCUUGGUUUGUAGCAUCUAUGCCUCAGUUUGAACUCAGUCUAAUUUAGCAACUGCUUCCUUUCCACAGUGAGCAGUAGCUCAGGUCAAGUGCAGGCUAGUUGGUUCCAUGCUCUCUUCUUUGAAAGCCGUUUCUCUGGUUUUCCUUAGUCACGUACAACUUCCUGCCUUUAGCCCAGUGUGGUGCCUAUUAUAAAUUCAUCAACUUCAGCUCAUCCUCACGCUUCACUGAACAUCAUCUAAGGUGGGACCUGCAAACAUUGUGAGGCCAUCUCAGAGCAAACACAUUUCCAUCCAAAUCACAAAAUUCAGCCCGUUAAUAAAAGUGCCUGUGGGCUUUUAUCGUAGGGGAAUCUUCAACAACACAUGGUUGAAAUAUUACAGAGUGUUUCCUUUUAGUUUCUAUUUUAAAAAAUUCAUUUCGACAGGAGGCAGUAUAGGUGAAGUAACCAUAUANNNNNNNNNNNNNNNNNNNNNNNNNNNNNNNNNNNNNNNNNNNNNNNNNNNNNNNNNNNNNNNNNNNNNNNNNNNNNNNNNNNNNNNNNNNNNNNNNNNAAAAUUCAUUUCGACAGGAGGCACUAUAGGUGAAGUAACCAUAUAAUUUAUCAUCAAAACCAGGACACUUUUGAGAGUGAAAGGGAGUAACUCCUCAUCAUUAAUCCAGGACAAAAGGCAUAAAAUGGAACUGUCUCAGGCAAAACUGGUUGUGUGUCAUCUUAAGCAAGGUCAGUUGGCCCACAAAGUGGCUCUAACUAGUAAAAAACAAACAAACAAAUAAACAAAAACAGGUAGCUGGCUGGAGGAAAGUCAGCCAUUUUGCCUCAGUGGUAUUUAAUCGACACCUUUUCACCUAGGAAUUUAAGAAGCUUGUAUUUGUUUUCCAGUCACUAAGAACCACACUUAACUUUUUUUUUUUUUUUAAUUCAGAUGAGAGUGAAAAAUUGAGAUUAGGAGAAGAAAUUUACUGAAGAAGGCAUAANNNNNNNNNNNNNNNNNNNNNNNNNNNNNNNNNNNNNNNNNNNNNNNNNNNNNNNNNNNNNNNNNNNNNNNNCUCUCCUAGGCACUGAAGGGUAUUAAAAAAUAACAAGUAUGUAGCAGGCUAUAGUCCAUAAGGUUGCAAAGAGUCAGAAAUGACUGAAGCAACUAAGUAUUAACAUACGUAGAUUAAAGUCAAGGUUAAAUUUGGAUCUUUAGAAGUGAUUAUAUUUAAAGUGAUGAUCAAAAUUGGAGAAAGUAAAUGUGAUCUCUGUGAUUAAGUAGACAUUAAACAAGAAAAGUGUGUUUGGAAGGAGAGGCAAGGUGGAAUGAGGAAAUAACCUUCGAAUAGAGGCAAGGAGAGAUAAGGUGGUUAGGUGAAGAACUAGAAUUUUGUUCUUUUAUAAAACCUAGAUGAAGAGAUCUUAAGAAGAAGAGAGGCAAUUUUAUUAUUAAAAGGCAAAGAUAAAACAAGAACAACUUUACAAAAACCUUCAGAUUUUGUGGUUAAAUUAUUGUUGUUAAUCGAGAAUUCCACUUAAUUGGAAUAGCUGAAUUUACAAGUGACCAGAUACCAAGAAAAUAAAAGCAUCAGAUAUACUAAGCUCAUUGAAGCAUUUUAUAGUGUAAACAAAGCAAAACAUAGUACAGAUGGCAGCAACUGGGGGCAUCAAUAGAUAUCAAAAUAGACUUCAAGAAGACACUGGAGAUGCUUUAAAAAAGAAAAGGAAACAUUUUUGGAAUAAUUAAUAAGUAGAAGGAGUGACAUGAUUGAAAGAAGAAGCCAAUUAGAAUUUCCUGAAAUGGAGGCAGGACACAUGCCCUCUGCAUCUAGAAAGGAUGGUAGUAGGUAGCAUCCGUUAAGUAAGAAAAGAUAUUUAAAUAAGAAAGUGUAGUAUAGCACAGUGAGGCUUAACAUCACAUUAAAGAAGGCUAUAUCCAGGGUUGUCUCGGCUUCCUUUUUUAUAAAGGUUAAAAAGUUCUCUAUUUCAUAUUUUUGAGAUAAAUUUUAAAUCUUCCAUACUUCCUUAUCCAUCAUGUUUAUUUACUUGCUUAUUUG
rnacentral:lncRNA from 1 species